UACGUAGGGGGCAAGCGUUGUCCGGAAUCAUUGGGCGUAAAGCGCGCGUAGGCGGCCCGGUAAGUCCGUUGUGAAAGUCGAAGGCUCAACCUUCGAAAGCCGAUGGAUACUGCCGGGCUAGAGUACGGAAGAGGCGAGUGGAAUUCCUGGUGUAGCGGUGAAAUGCGCAGAUAUCAGGAGGAACACCAAUUGCGAAGGCAGCUCGCUGGGACGUGACUGACGCUGAGACGCGAAAGCGUGGGGAGCAAACAGG
rnacentral:rRNA from 1 species